CGUAGGGAGCAAGCGUUGUCCGGAAUUACUGGGCGUAAAGGGCGCGUAGGUGGGCGCUUAAGUCAGGUGUGAAAACUCCGGGCUCAACCUGGAGACUGCACUUGAAACUGGGUGUCUUGAGGGCAGGAGAGGAAAGUGGAAUUCCUAGUGUAGCGGUGAAAUGCGUAGAUAUUAGGAGGAACACCAGUGGCGAAGGCGACUUUCUGGACUGUACCUGACGCUGAGGCGCGAAAGCGUGGGUAGCGAA
rnacentral:rRNA from 1 species